UACGUGGGGGGCAAGCGUUGUUCGGAAUUAUUGGGCGUAAAGGGCUCGUAGGCGGCCAACUAAGUCAGACGUGAAAUCCCCAGGCUCAACCUGGGAACUGCGUCUGAUACUGGAUGGCUUGAAUCCGGGAGAGGGAUGCAGAAUUCCAGGUGUAGCGGUGAAAUGCGUAGAUAUCUGGAGGAAUACCGGUGGCGAAGGCGGCAUCCUGGACCGGCAUUGACGCUGAGGAGCGAAAGCCAGGGGAGCAAACAGG
rnacentral:rRNA from 1 species